AAUGAACGUUGGCGGCGUGGAUUAGGCAUGCAAGUCGAGCGAGAACCGUAGCAAUACGGGGACAGCGGCGAAAGGGACAGUAAUGUGUAGGUACCUACCCCCGGGUUCGGGAUAGCUGCGGGAAACUGCAGGUAAUACCGAAUAAUGUCUUCGGACCAAAGGUGUGAUUCCACCUGGGGAGGGGCCUGCAUCCUAUUAGCUUGUUGGUGGGGUAACGGCUUACCAAGGCGACGAUGGGUAGCGGGUGUGAGAGCAUGACCCGCGUCAUUGGGACUGAGACACUGCCCAGACACAUGCGGGUGGCUGCAGUCGAGGAUCUGCGGCAAUGGGCGCAAGCCUGACCGAGCGACGCCGCGUGCGGGAUGAAGGCCGUCGGGUUGUAAACCGCUGUCGUAGAGGAGGAAAUGCAGGAGGGUUCUCCCUUCUGUUUGACCUAUUCUAGGAGGAAGUACGGGCUAAGUUCGUGCCAGCCGCCGCAGUAA
rnacentral:rRNA from 1 species